GUACUUGCUUCUGAGAAAGUUCAGCUCUUCAUCAUCUACAGAAGCUCCUCAGACUCCUCCUGCACUGACAGCCAUGGUUCUCAGUGGAACUCUGAGAGUGGUCCUGCUCUGUCUUCUCUCUCUCUGUCUGAGAGGAGCUGAAGCUCAGCUGGUGAACCAGAACAAUCUGGCUCGCAUCAUCCGUCACAUCCAAACCCGCUACAGUCCAGGUGGACAGUAUGCAGUGGCCAUCAACAUCCCAAGUCAUCUCUGUACUGGACCCUUCAAUUUUCUGGAAUUUCAGGAGGCUCUUAACAAUGAUCAGCCAAAUAAUGUGAGAAAUGA